rnacentral:rRNA from 1 species
ACUAACAAGGAUUCCCCUAGUAACUGCGAGUGAACCGGGAAAAGCUCAAAUUUUGAAUCUGGCGGUCUUUACGGCCGUCCGAGUUGUAAUCUAGAGAAGCGUCUUCCGCGCUGGACCGUGUAUAAGUUUCCUGGAAUGGAACGUCGUAGAGGGUGACAAUCCCGUCUUUGACACGGACUCCCAGGGCUAUGUGAUGCGCUCUCGACGAGUCGAGUUGUUUGGGAAUGCAGCUCAAAUAGGGUGGUAAAUUCCAUCUAAAGCUAAAUACAGGCGAGAGACCGAUAGCGAACAAGUACCGUGAGGGAAAGAUGAAAAGAACUUUGGAAAGAGAGUUAAACAGUACGUGAAAUUGCUGAAAGGGAAACGCUUGAUGUCAGUCGCGUCGGCCGGGGAUCAGCCUUGCUUCAUCGCUCGGCGUACUUCCUGGUCGACGGGUCAGCAUCGGUUUCGACCGUCGGAAAAUGGCUCGAGGAAUGUGGCACUCUUCGGAGUGUGUUAUAGACUCGGGUCGAAUACGGCGGUUGGGACCGAGGAACUCAGUACGACCUUACGGUUCGGGGCUUCGGCUCACGUUAACGUGCUUAGGAUGCUGGCAUAAUGGCCUUAAGCGACCCGUCUU